rnacentral:rRNA from 1 species
UGCAGUCGUGCGAGAAAGCCACCUUCGGGUGGUGAGUAGAGCGGCGCACGGGUGAGUAACGCGUGGGUAAUCUGCCUUUAGGUCUGGAAUAACCUCGGGAAACUUUGGCUAAUACCGGAUAAGACCACGAUGUCCUCGGACUUCGCGGAAAAAGAUGGCCUCUUCUUGAAAGCUAUCGCCAAGAGAUGAGCCCGCGUCCCAUUAGCUUGUUGGUGAGGUAAAAGCUCACCAAGGCUCCGAUGGGUAGCUGGUCUGAGAGGAUGAUCAGCCACACUGGAACUGAGACACGGUCCAGACUCCUACGGGAGGCAGCAGUCGGGAAUUUUGGGCAAUGGGGGAAACCCUGACCCAGCAACGCCGCGUGAGGGAUGAAGGCCUUCGGGUCGUAAACCUCUGUCGGGAGGGAAGAAAGGUCUCUGCGCAAAUAGUUCAGGGGCUUGACGGUACCUCCAAAGGAAGCGCCGGCUAACUCCGUGCCAGCAGCCGCGGUAAUACGGAGGGCGCAAGCGUUGUUCGGAAUCACUGGGCGUAAAGCGCGUGUAGGCGGUUA